UCAAAAUAGAAGAUCUGUCCACGUGUGUAAAGGUCAUGCAGCCUCUUUAUCUUUAUCCUUUCCUUAUCUGAUAUAAAACUCGUCAGAAUCCCAUAAGAAAUCACCAAUCAGAAUUUCAAACUAAUUUAUGGGAUCAGAAUUCUAAAUUAACUUAUGUGAUGUGCACAGAAAUUUAGAGUUCAAAUCUUAGCAAAAUUCCACUUCCCACGUGAUUACCCUACACCAUGGUUUAGUAUAAAUAUAGCACUAAACCUCAAGCAUUCAGUCAUUAAUUCAUCAUUCUUCUUCUACACGUCUUUAUUCUCUUCUCCUCUUUAAAAUAUUUCUCCAUAUUAUUAAGCCUUUUAAGGCCUUGGAAUCGCAAUAAAGAAUCACGUUUUCAGCAAUUUUAUUUUCCACGUUCAUCUUCAAAAGGUGAGAUGCUCAGUGCUAUU
rnacentral:lncRNA from 1 species